rnacentral:rRNA from 1 species
CCUGAGAAAUCCAAAAGUUCGAAUGGAGAGAUUCAGCGUCAGUGGGUGUUGGCUUGCGUGUGGUCGCGAUGCUCGUGCGCGCCGAGUGCCCUCGGGUACUCGGAACGCUCGUGGCACGUGGCUGCUGCGUCAUGUCCGACGUCGCCGGCGUGCACUUCUCUCCUAGUAGGACGUCGCGACCCGUUGGGUGCGCACAGUUCGGUCAACGGCCCGUACGGUAGACUGUCGAGCAUCACGCGAGACAGACCAUCGGUGUUCCGCUUCCCCGACCGACUGCCCGGCGGUAUUGAAAGCUUUUAUCAAGAAUGGUAUCGAGCCGCACUUUUUUUUCGAAAGAAUGCGUUCGGCCUGGCGACCGUUUGGGUCUCGCGCGGUUUUCCACGGACCUGGUGCCGUUGCCGUGCGCUUGAUUCAUUUCGAUCGUCAGUGUCCUCGAACCGGCUCGCGGGGCUCUCUUUCGAGAGGGCUCCGGCAGACACACGCAUACCGGUCAGCGACGCUUUUGCUUUGGAUACUUUCAGG